rnacentral:rRNA from 1 species
ACGGGAGGCAGCAGUGGGGAAUAUUGCACAAUGGGCGCAAGCCUGAUGCAGCGAUGCCGCGUGAGGGAAGAAGGUUUUCGGAUUGUAAACCUCUGUCAUCGGGGACGAUAAUGACUGUACCCGAGAAGGAAGCUCCGGCUAACUACGUGCCAGCAGCCGCGGUAAUACGUAGGGAGCGAGCGUUAUCCGGAAUUACUGGGUGUAAAGGGAGUGUAGGCGGGACUGUAAGUCAGAUGUGAAAUAUACCGGCUCAACUGGUAGACUGCAUUUGAAACGGCGUUUAUUGAGUGAAGUAGAGGUAAGCGGAAUUCCUAGUAUAGCGGUGAAAUGCGUAGAUAUUAGGAGGAACAUCCGUGGCGAAUGCGGCUUACUGGGCUUUACCCGACACUGAGGCUCGAAAGCGUGGGGAGCAAACAGUAUUAGAUACCCUGGUA